rnacentral:rRNA from 1 species
GACGAACGCUGGCGGCGUGCUUAACACAUGCAAGUCGAACGGAAAGGCCCUGCUUUUGUGGGGUGCUCGAGUGGCGAACGGGUGAGUAACACGUGAGUAACCUGCCCUUGACUUUGGGAUAACUUCAGGAAACUGGGGCUAAUACCGGAUAGGAGCUCCUGCUACAUGGUGGGGGUUGGAAAGUUUCGGCGGUUGGGGAUGGACUCGCGGCUUAUCAGCUUGUUGGUGGGGUAGUGGCUUACCAAGGCUUUGACGGGUAGCCGGCCUGAGAGGGUGACCGGGCACAUUGGGACUGCGAUACGGCCCAGACUCCAACGGGAGGCAGCAGUGGGGAAUAUUGCACAAUGGGCGGAAGCCUGAUGCAGCAACGCCGCGUGCGGGAUGACGGCCUUCGGGUUGUAAACCGAUUUCGCCUGUGACGAAGCGUGAGUGACGGUAAUGGGUAAAGAAGCACCGGCUAACUACGUG